UUCCCUUCCCUCCUUCCAUCCUUCCUCCCACCCUCCUGCCUUUCCCUCGUGCCCUCCUACCUUUCACUAUUUAUUCCCCUUUCUAUACCACCUACUCAUGCCCAGGUCCUACACCUUUCCCCUAAAUACAUACACACACACAUAUAUAUACACACAUAUAGAUAUAUAGAUACAUAUAUAUACACACACACAAAAGAACAGGUAUCAUUUGCAUUGUGAAUGGCUGGGCCUUCGAGAGGACUGCUGAGUUCAUGUAGUCCAUGGCUCUGAUUCUGUCCAUCCUAGAUGUCUCCCAGGGCAGGAGGGCUGUGGUGCUAUUGGCUGGUUGCAGCAUCGGAAGCUCAGGACUGGUGUAUCUGGAGCCAUCCAUCCUCAUUGGCUAUGGGACUUAUGGCACACAGUGCCAGUGUCAUUCAGCACCCAAUUCAACAUCACAGACUGUUCUCACUCAAAGUCAAAUCCUCCUGCAUUACCCACAAAAUGCACCAAGGUCCUUGAGCAAAGACAUUCCUAUGGAUGGGUUUGCCUCUGCUUAAGGCAAUGAUCCAAACAGUUUUCCCUAACCCAUUUCUCAUAUGCAUCACAGGAACUUGAUCCCCUUCUCCAGUUUGUGGAUGUUUUGUUUUGGUGGCGACAGCUCAAUUGGUAGAGCCUGGUAGGUGUUCACUGACCAGGUGGCCUUUGCCAAGUGCAGAUCCUAAUGUUCAAAGGUCCCACCACCCAUUGCUUUCAAGUCCAUUGUACCAUUCAGCUUUCCCAGGGCUGGUGCACGGCAGGGAAUGUGGUACAUCCACUCAACGCUGUGCUCUCUGGCCCAGGUGUUCAUGAGGCUGUUUUUAAAGUAAGUCUCAUUGUUUGAAUCAAUUCUUUCAGUUGCCACAGGGCUUGUUUUUCAGGGGUCCAUGUGGUGUUCCAGGCAGUGGCAUAAUGCACGGGGAUGGGUCUCCAGCCAUCCAGUCGUGCCUUCUACCACUGUCAGCAUGCAACUCUUGCUGUGGAGAGGUUGUGGCAGUGUGAUGCAAUUGAUCUGCCAGGCCUCCCCAGAUUUAUAUUUCGACCAUCGUCCCCCACAGCACGUUUCACAGUCAUGGAUUACCCAGGAUAUAGUGUCCAUGAUUAAGUCCACCCCUCAGUCACGAUGCUGUGUGAUACAUCUCUCUCCUCCCUGAUGACCUCAGAUGCCUAAGGGGCCCACUGAGUCAAAAACAACUCACCCUUGUGUGGCCAGUCCUGACCUACCUGAGACACUAAUCCUGGCAGCCCCAUCCCUGUCCACUCUUGUGAUGCUCUUCACUAGCCGACUCCUGGGUACCUGAACAUCCGCAGGAUGGACUUUCACAGCCAACUUCUUUACCCUGGCAGCGAUAUCUUGCCACAAUUCAAUAACCCAGAUGGGUUUCCCUCUGCGCUGCCACUUGGUCUUUUUCCAUUGUCUAGCCACUUCCACAGAGCAUUUGCUGCUAUGCACGAGUCAGUGGCCAUUUCUCUCAUUCAGCGAUAUCCAGCAAUAUCCAAAGCCAGCUGGACGGCUGAAAGCUGCUUUCAGCUCUGCAGCCUGACUUGAUCCACCCACCUUGUCUCUCAGUAACUUCUGUGUCUCAUCACACAGGACUUCACAGGGCUGCUUUCUGUUUUCUGAUGUAUCCCUACAAUAUCCUCUCCUGAGGUGAGCCCUGCAAAGUAUACAUGGGACCACUGGGCCAGUCACAAUGAGGUGGUUUUGCCUUUCAUUCCCAGUUGGUCAGCUGUUGGGAUUCCCUAGAGAUGGAUUCUACCCCUUCAGAUAUUGAUGUCAUCUGGGUACAUUGGUGCUGGUGUCAAAUAAAGCCUUAGACUCUUGUGGUUCUGCUGUACUAGCCAUCAGAUCCGCAUUCCCCAAUAGAUCCGAUGGUCCCUUUCCUCCACCUGACUGGAGCCAGGGCCCCUUUAGUUCCGGUCACAGUACUCGUUGCUCACUUCUUGUAAAUAUCACCUGGAGGUCCUUCAAGAUGAUCAGAAGUGAAAUCAGCCCUUCUCUUCUAUCUGAGGACUUACCCACUGGAAACUGGAGCAGAUUUAUCCUUGGUGAGCUUUCUUUGGUGGUGUUCUUCUUCUCAACUCACCUGUGCUGCUGGGGCAGAGAUGGGUUUUCAAUCCCACUUCCUCAUGUCUUCUCCAUGGUCACACAGUUAAAACCACAGGUUACUUCAUAGUGUGUCCCCUCUCCUGAGCAGGAUUUUGGCUGCUCCCAAUAGCAGAGACUCUGGUCCAUACUGGCAGGACAUGGGACAUUUCCUCUCUAGUUUGCUUGAGUCUUUCAAAUCUGUCUGUAGUUUUGGACAUUUUUUCCACAGCCAAUGCAUAGGUUGGUAGGGAGAAGAAAAGAUGAUCUUCAUAUUGCCAAAGCUGGGUAGUCACCUGCAGCACUGUGUGCUUUCCUUCUUUCAUUGAUGUCACUGCCAGUGAUGGUAUACAACAACGGUGUGCUUCAAAAAAACUUCUGCCACAUGGACUGUGUGCCCUGGACCUCAUCUGGAUCUUCCUCCUGUUGUAAGGACGCUGCUUCCUCUUCAUCCCUCACUCAGCAAACUGAUGUGGUUUUGAAUUUCUUCUGUAAAGCAGCAACUGCUCGCAGCACAUGUUGUUCCUCUGGUUCAGCUGCAAUUGGACUGCCCAAGGUGCCUCUUGCUCUGCUUUCCUCCUCCUCCUCCCCCUGAGGGUGCUGUCCAGUGAUGAACAGUGGCUGGUAAAUAGUAGCCAGGGCCCAGCACAUUGCAUAACUUUGUGCCUCUCUGAAGUCAGUCACUGCAGCAUUUUUCUUCCCCAUAUUUUAUCACUUUACCAGGGUCCUGUAGUUGUUCAGAGGUGAAUUUCCAAACUAUUGGAGAAGAUAAAUCCUCCAAACACUGGCCCAUGUCCUCCCACAUUUCAUACCACUCCUGACUAUCCUCCCUCAGUGAAGAUCUCUGAAUGACCUUUCUGAAAAUUUCUUUUUGUGAAGAAGAAACCCGUGACUACCUUGAGCUAUGGCUGACUUGUUGCUCCUCUAAAUCUCAUUACUUCAGACUGACAUCUUACCUGGCUACUUGAGCAAUAAAUCAUCUCAAAGCA